AGUGAACGCUGGCGGUAGGCCUAACACAUGCAAGUCGAACGGCAGCACAGUAAGAGCUUGCUCUUACGGGUGGCGAGUGGCGGACGGGUGAGGAAUACAUCGGAAUCUACUUUUUCGUGGGGGAUAACGUAGGGAAACUUACGCUAAUACCGCAUACGACCUACGGGUGAAAGCAGGGGAUCUUCGGACCUUGCGCGAUUGAAUGAGCCGAUGUCGGAUUAGCUAGUUGGCGGGGUAAAGGCCCACCAAGGCGACGAUCCGUAGCUGGUCUGGGAGGAUGAUCAGCCACAUUGGAACUGAGACACGGUCCAGACUCCUACGGGAGGCAGCAGUGGGGAAUAUUGGACAAUGGGCGCAAGCCUGAUCCAGCCAUACCGCGCGGGUGAAGAAGGCCUUCGGGUUGUAAAGCCCUUUUUUUGGUAAAGAAAAGCAGCAGGUUAAUACCCCGCUGUUCUGACAGUACCCAAAGAAUAAGCACCGGCUAACUUCGUG
rnacentral:rRNA from 1 species